CCCCCAUGCUUUCUCAUUUAAUUCGGGCGUCAAAUUAUUCCUUCUGCCAGAAUCUCCUAAUUUUCAAAACCCAUCCAUCUUUCCAGACUCAGAUCAAAUGCCACCUCUUCCAGGAAGUCUUUCCAGUUCUCCUGCGCAUUUCUUUGAUAUUUAGCUGCACUUUUCUUGUGGAAAGCUGAUCUAGGAAGCGUCCAAGCGCCCGAUCAACGAAAGAGUUCACAGAAUGGAAAGGGACACAUUCCUCCCAGCCCCCAGCCCUCAGCCCUCCCGCGGGAAUCGGACAAGUGCAGUAAAUCCUAUUGGAUCACUAUCUGAAUCGAUAAUUCUUCCCGGAAAUACCGGGCACAACUCUUUCAGAUGCCCUCCCCGGUUGUAAAACAAAGGACCGGCAACUGGCAAAAGACGUCCCAAAGUCCAAGGGCAGGGAGUUGAGACGCAGGCAGGAAUCGCUCAAAGGCUGAAAAAGCACUAGCCUGAAGACGAAGACCCCCACGCUAAGAAGCAACCGAAAAGGCGCUUCCGCCCUCCGUCCCGCUCCACGCCUCAGUGUCGCCUGGCCCUCCGAUUGGCUGCUCCUCGCACCCGCCCGACAAAGGCUGUGACCCACGUGACUCAAUGGCGGCCGGAGGAUUGGUUGUCCGGCGGAGGCUGUUCUGGGCGGGGAGGUCUCGCGAGCUGCAGCAAAGCUAGGCUACCAGCAAGCGGGAAGCGGGACUGAGUUGUAGCCAGGAGCCGAAAGGCCGGGUGACUGCUGCUGUCAGUCUCCGCGGGCCGGAGCAAACCUCCCGAGACAGGGCGUAGGAGCUUGAGGAGUUCGGAGAGCGGGCUGUGGACUCGUGCCUGGGUCUUUGGUUUGAGCCCUGGCUUCGGCCUUACUCGUAUUUCCCUGCAAGUACGGUCCCUCUCAGUCUUUCCUGAAGUCGGUGGGGUUUGGACUUUAUUAUUAUUAUUUUGUUGAGAGUCCAUUGUAUGGAAGCACCGGUUGACCUGCGCAGCGCGCCGUGGAGACCGCCAUGAGGUAGAAGCUAGGGGAGGGAGGGCUUAGAGAUGCGUGUAUGGUUACCUGCGUGCAGUAUUGGAGGUUGAGGUGAAAAAUCUGGCUUUUGAUAUCUUCGUGGAGGACUACAUUAUUUCAAUCCUGAAUCUGGUUCAGUUUCCUUAUUGACUUAUUAUGAUAUUAAAAAUGCUUAAUUAACUA